GGGGGGGGGGGGGGGGGGGGGGGGGGGGGGGGGGGGGGGGGGGGGGGGGGGGGGGGGGGGGGGGGGGGGGGGGGGGGCCCAGGGGUCACUCAGGGUGGUCCCUGGGCCAUCUAAACAUGGUCCGGAGUGGCCCAAGGUCCAUCCCGGGAGAUCCAAGGUGGCCCAAGGUCCAUCCGAGGUUGUCCAAAGUCAUCUGAGGUUGCCCAGUAAUGGUCCAAGGUGGCCCAGGAUCCAUUCUAGGUUGCCCAACAAUGGUUCAAGGUUGCCCAAGGUCCACCCCAGCAGAUCCAAGGUUGCCCAAGGUCCAUCCCAGGUGGCCCAAAGUGGUCCAAGGUGGCCCAAAGUCCAUCCAAGGUUGCCCAAGGUCCAUCCCAGGUAGCCCAACAUGGUCUGAGGUGGUCCAAGAUGAUACAAGAUCCAUCCAAGGUGGCCCAAAGCCCACCCCAGGUAGCCCAAGGCCACCACGGCUCCUCAGACCCCCCCCAGGGAUCCCAAAUCCCCCCAAAAAAUCCCCAAAAAAAUCC
rnacentral:lncRNA from 12 species